CCGCGUCCAAGCAGUUAGGCUGGGAAAUAGGCAAAUCCGUUUCCCAUAAGGCUGAGCUGUGAUGGCGAGCGAAAUAUAGUAGCGAAGUUCCUGAUUCCACACUGCCAAGAAAAGCCUCUAGCGAGGUGAGAGGUGCCCGUACCGCAAACCGACACAGGUAGGCGAGGAGAGAAUCCUAAGGUGAUCGAGAGAACUCUCGUUAAGGAACUCGGCAAAAUGACCCCGUAACUUCGGGAGAAGGGGUGCUCUGUUAGGGUGCAAGCCCGAGAGAGCCGCAGUGAAUAGGCCCAGGCGACUGUUUAGCAAAAACACAGGUCUCUGCGAAGCCGUAAGGCGAAGUAUAGGGGCUGACGCCUGCCCGGUGCUGGAAGGUUAAGAGGAGCGCUUAGCGUAAGCGAAGGUGCGAAUUGAAGCCCCAGUAAACGGCGGCCGUAACAAUAACGGUCCUAAGGUAGCGAAAUUCCUUGUCGGGUAAGUUCCGACCCGCACGAAAGGCGCAACGAUCUGGGCACUGUCUCAACGAGAGACUCGGUGAAAUUAUAGUACCUGUGAAGAUGCAGGUUACCCGCGACAGGACGGAAAGACCCCGUGGAGCUUUACUGCAGCCUGAUAUUGAAUGUUGGUACAGCUUGUACAGGAUAGGUAGGAGCCUUGGAAACCGGAGCGCCAGCUUCGGUGGAGGCAUCGGUGGGAUACUACCCUGGCUGUAUUGACCUUCUAACCCGCCGCCCUUAUCGGGCGGGGAGACAGUGUCAGGUGGGCAGUUUGACUGGGGCGGUCGCCUCCUAAAAGGUAACGGAGGCGCCCAAAGGUUCCCUCAGAAUGGUUGGAAAUCAUUCGCAGAGUGUAAAGGCACAAGGGAGCUUGACUGCGAGACCUACAAGUCGAGCAGGGACGAAAGUCGGGCUUAGUGAUCCGGUGGUUCCGCAUGGAAGGGCCAUCGCUCAACGGAUAAAAGCUACCCCGGGGAUAACAGGCUUAUCUCCCCCAAGAGUCCACAUCGACGGGGAGGUUUGGCACCUCGAUGUCGGCUCAUCGCAUCCUGGGGCUGUAGUCGGUCCCAAGGGUUGGGCUGUUCGCCCAUUAAAGCGGUACGCGAGCUGGGUUCAGAACGUCGUGAGACAGUUCGGUCCCUAUCCGUCGCGGGCGCAGGAAAUUUGAGAGGAGCUGUCCUUAGUACGAGAGGACCGGGAUGGACGCACCGCUGGUGUACCAGUUGUUCUGCCAAGGGCAUCGCUGGGUAGCUAUGUGCGGACGGGAUAAGUGCUGAAAGCAUCUAAGCAUGAAGCCCCCUUCAAGAUGAGAUUUCCCAUUCCGCAAGGAAGUAAGAUCCCUGAAAGAUGAUCAGGUUGAUAGGUCUGA
rnacentral:rRNA from 1 species